CUUGGUAAACCUUGGGUGGACUGGGGAGAACUGAGGAGGGGAAGCGCUUUUUUGUUGCUUCUCUGUGUUUUCUAUUUUAUUUUAUUUAUUUUAUUUUUAGAUUUUCAGUUCUUAUUUCACCCAGGGAAGGAGACCUGGGUAUCCACCCCAUGUCCUCCAGAGAACUUCCCUGGCCCCGCUCGGAGUCUUCCUGGGACGCCACAGGCUCGGAGAGCGCUCCGCAGGUUUCUCCCCCGGCGCCUCCAAAUCUUUCGAUUCCUACUCGAAUUACUCCGUCAGCUGCUGGAAGAGGGGCAAGGGGUAUGGCGAGACGCGUUGGUACAUGGGGCACUGGGGGGAAGGGAAAGCCUCCCUCCUUCUCCUAGUAAUUCGAGAAUGUUGCGUCCGCCUCCUUUCUUUUGCUGGCGCUAGGGGCUCGGACCAGCACCUGCCAGGCAUAGGUGUGGCCACUGGGGCGAAACCUGGCAGGCUCUGGAAACAGCGUUUUACUGACAGGAAAGAGAAACUGUUCUUUGUAUUCAUCACCCACCGCAGACUUCCUCACGCCCGGGUCUUAGGCGGGGCUGUCAGAUUUCAGUGUGUUUCUCUUAAUUCUAGUACUAAAUUUGUACUGGGCGCUGGCGAAGGGCCUGGCUCCGCCACGCGCGGCCCUCUCGAACUGCCCGUGGGUACGGCGCGCGCUGCUGCCCUGUGUGGCCUGUGCGGGGAACCCGAGGGCCGAAGUGGGCCCCGCCGCAGCACAGGGGGACAAGAGAACCAGGAGCGGGCUGCCUGGGGGCAGAUUCGAACCCGUGCUCCCAGCGGAUAGAAGUAGCACUUGGGGACUCCUAAAAUAUUCAGCCCAAUCCUGAUUCCAGCUGCCCUCUCUAGGCACCUUUCCUCUACCCUUCUUCCAGUUUACAAUUCUGGGCUCGAGGUCUCAGUGGACAGAGCUGAAGAAAAGCCGUCUAUGGAGCCUGCGCCAGGCGCAGACUGGGUCGUCGCAGUCUGGGUCGUCGCAGUCUGGGCCGGGGCGCUGGAAGUCUUACUCACUUCUCAAGAACCCGCAAGGGAUCAGGCCUGACCCUUUGCAAGUGACAGAAUCCAAAGCUUUGAGCUCAUGGGAAAGUGGCUGGAAAGAAGGUCACUGUAGGGCCGCACAGGUCUCUGGCGAGGCUACCCAAGAACAUUUAAAUCCCUGCCCAGAGAAGAAGAGGCUCCAGCUGUCCUGCACCUUCCUGGGAACUGGCAGUCCCUCCGCGCAGGGGUUCUGCAGCGACCGGCAGCGCGAGGAGACAAGGAUGGUGGCCAGUUAACAGAAAAUCAAGGCAGCGGGAAAGGGAGGAAUGGCCUACAGGGGCCAUGCAGGGGCUGCAUGGAGGAAUUGGUCAGUACACACAGAAGUGGAUGGCACUGGGCCAGGCACAGUGGCUCACACCUGUAAUCCCAGCACUUUGGGAAGCUGAGGUGGGUGGAUCGCCUGAGCCCAGGAGUUCGAGACCAGUCAAGACAACAUGACAAAACUCCACGUCUACUAAAAAUACAAAAACUAGCUGGGCAUGGUGGCAUGUGCCUGUAAUCCCAGCUACUUGGGAGGCUGAGGCAGGAGAAUCGCUUGAGGUGGAGGUUGCAGUGAGCCAAGAUAGUGCCCCUACACUCCAGCCUGGGUGACAGAGUGAGACUUUGUCUCAAAUAAAUAAAUAAAUAAGAAGUGGACUGCUGUGGUGUGAGAAUGCACCUGACAGACCUCCAAUUAUGGAGAGCUUACACAGCCAAGGGCCCCAACUGCUGCUCUCUGAAACUCAUCCUGCUUUUGUGCUGAGGCCACACUUCCCACAGGCUGCUCCAGCCAGUGACCAAGCACAGCAUGGACACUAAGACAGGCCCAUUCUGGGAGACGUGGGACUCCUCUGAUGGCCAACUUUGACUUGGGGACUCCCUGAUGGCCUUGCCAAACCUUUUUGAUAAAGCACUUUGGUCUAGGAAGCUUCUACCCGACCUUCCUUCCUCUCUCCUUCACUCAGGGUCAGACUUAUAAUGUGAUCUGACAGUUCCCCCAGCAUUUCCUGGCUCUUUCUCCUUUCCUUUCACAGGUGUUUCUCCUGAGAAAAUUCUUGCAUGUUUAAACCCAAUUUGAGGGAUUAUUGGGAAAAUUAUUGGGACCACUAUUGGAACAGUUGACAAACUGUCACUGGGGGUGUGUAGAUUAAAUGUCAGUAUCGUAUAAAUCCAUGUUAAUUUCCUGGUAGUGAUGACAGCACUGUGAUUAUAUAGGAGUGUGUCCUUGGUGUUUGGGAAUUACAUGGUGAAAUGUUUAGGAUAAUGGGGCAACUUACUUUCAAACGGUUCCCCAAAAAUUCUAGAUAGAUAGAUAGAUAGAUAGACAGACAGGCAGGCAGAGUGAGAAAGAAAGUGAGAAUGGUAAAACAAAUAUAUAUAAUGUUUUGUGGGGAGAAUGAAUAGGAGUUUUUUGUAGUAUUCUUACGACUUUUCCAUAAGUUUGAAAUUAUCAAAAAUAAAAAAUGUUUAAAACAUUCUGAAGACAUACAUUCAGCCAACAAUCAUAUGAAAAAAGCUCUACAUCACUGAUCAUUAGAGAAAUGCAAAUCAAAACCACAAUGAGCUAUCAUCUAACACCAGUCAGAAUGGCCAUUAUUAAAAAGUCAAAAAAUAACAGAUGCUGGUGAGGUUGUGGAGAAAAAGGAACACUUAUACAGUUGGUGGUAGUGUAAAUUCAGCCAUUGUGGAAGACAGUGUGGUGAUUCCUCAAAGACAUAAAAACAGAAAUACCAUUCAACCCAGCAAUCCUAUUACUGGAUAUAUACCCAAAGGAAUGUAGAUCAUUCUAUUAUACAGACACACACACGUAUGUUCAUUGCAGCACCACUCACAAUAGCGUAGACAUGGAAUCAACCUAAAUGCUCAUCAGUAACAGACUGGAUAAAGAAAAUGUGGUACAUAUCAUGGAAUACUAUGCAGCCAUAACAAUGAAUGAGAUCAUGUCCUUUGCAGGGACAUGGAUGGAGCUGGAGGCCAUUAUCCUUAGGAAACUAACACAGGAAUAGAAAACCAAAUACCACAUGUUCUCACUUACAAGUGGGAGCUAAAUGAUGAGAACACAUGGACACAUAGAGUGGAACAACUGGGGAGUGGAACAACUGGGGAGUGGAACAUAGAGUGGAACACACACUGGGGCCUUUUGGAGGGUGGGAGGGUAGGAGGAAGGAGAGGAUCAAGAAAAAUAACUAAUGGGUACUAGGCUUAAUACCUGGGUGAUGAAAUAAUCUGUACAACAAACCCCCAUGACACAAGUUUACCUAUGUAACAAACCUGCACUUAUACCCAUGAACUUAAAAUGUUUUUUUAAAAUCUUAAACAACGCUCAGAAUCUUGAUUGAAAGUCUUAGUGCAAAAGGGCUUGCAUAACUAAUAUGGUUUGGGACUGUGUCCCCACACAAACCUCAUGUCAAAUUGUAAUCCCUAGUGUCGGAGAACGGACAUCGUGGGAGGUGAUUAGAUCAAGGGGGUGGAUUUCCCCCAUGCUGUUCUCAUUAUAAUGGGUGAGUUGUCCUGAGAUCUAGUUGUUUAAAAAUGUGUAGCACCUCCCCCUUCCCUCUAUUCAUCCUGCUCCAGCCAUGUAGGAUGUGCUGGCUUCCCUUACACCUUCUGCCAUGAUUGUAAGUUUCCUGAGGUCUCCCCAGCCAUGCUUCCUGUGCAGCCUGUGGUACCAUGAGCCAAUUCAACCUCUUUUCUUUAUAAAUUACCUAGUCUUAGGUAGUUCUUUAUAGCAAUGUGAAAACAGAUUAAUACAAUAGCCUUCUUCUUUAUCUUGAAACUCAUCAAGGACACCAAGGUCAUUCCACCCAAAUUAAAAGUUUCCCUUUUAUCUUCCAAAGUGAUUUAUAGUAGGAAGAUGGAAGGCUGUUUACACUUUUAUUGAUUGCUUAGUUUUGUUCAUAUAGUUAUACAUUUUAAAAUUCUUGCAGAAUUAGUUUGCUAGGGCUGCCAUAACAAAAUAUAAGAC
rnacentral:lncRNA from 1 species